AUUAAUACUAACAGCAACAACAACAAAGACUGCCCUUACCAUGUUAGGUCGCACACCAAUUUUUCAAAGAAGUGAAACAGAAUCCAAAAUCAGAGAAACCAGUGAAUGUGUUUCCUAGACCGCUUAAAUCCUUAAUUAUCGAAUUGCACAAUUAGGAAUUUGAUUCUAUUAAUAAAUCUAUGUGAAAAAAUGCCGAUUAUUGCUCCCCUAAAUUAUCUAGAUUCUUUUAUGCAUAAUCAAUUAAAUUGGGUAAAACAAAUUGUAGGACAAACAAGAAUUCUAGAGUAUUGCUAUCGUUGGACAAGUAGUGAAUAAUUAAGCUAAUUAAUAAUAACUUUGUCAAACUUUCACAUGAUUUCCUAUAAUUGCAGAAAACAUACUCAUACCACCAUAAACCAAAACCUUACCCCAAUCUAAAAGUGAGAAAAUGUCAAAAAUUACAAUUAAUGGAGCUGAUCCAAGAGUCGCGCUCUUGUUUCCAAGAAUAAACUCAAGUUUAUUGAUGGAACACUUUCAAUCCCAUCUCUUUAAAACGACAACUUUGAAUCUUGAGAAUUGUAACGUAAUGAUCGUUUCUUGGAUCACCCAAUCCGUCUCUUCAUCGAUUGCUCAAAGUAUUGUCUACACGGAAACUGCCAUUGUCUAUGGAAUGAACUAAAAGAUCGCUUUACCAAAGGUACACCACCACUAACGGGCACCUACUCCGACGUGGACUCUAACCACACAUCAACAUUCAUGGAACAUCAUUCCUUCUGAUUCGUCAUCGACAUGAGAUAUCUCAGUUUAGAUCCAAGCAAUAUGUCUAUUUGAAGGUACAACAACAAUGUUCUUUACAGUCUGUCAGUUGUACUUGCACUUGCUUGACUUGGAGAACAAUCUUGCUUUAUGCAUUUUAUGAAGCAAUGUGUUAAGCCUUCGAAUUCUAGAAUAUUUUUUGCUUAAAUUGAUCCUUGUAUAUUUCUAAUGAAGAUAUGGAAUGGAUAAUACUUCCUAGA